rnacentral:rRNA from 1 species
AUUGAACGCUGGCGGCAGGCCUAACACAUGCACGUCGAGCGGAGCGGCGGACGGGUGAGUACUGCCUAGGAAUAUGCCUGGUAGAGGGGGAUAAAGUCCGGAAACGGGAGCUAAUACCGCAUACUAGAAGCUGAGCCUAGGUCGGAUUAGCUAGUUGGUGGGGUAAAGGCCUAACAAGGAGACGAUCCGUAACUUGGCUGAUAGGUUGAUCAGUCACACUGUAACUGCUACUCGGUCCAGAAUCCUACGCGCUGCAGCAGUGGGGAAUAUUAGACAAUGGGCGAAAGCCUGAUCGAGCCGUGCCGCGUGUGUGAAGAAGGUUGUCGGAUUGUAAAGCACUUUAAUUUGGGAGGCGUUACCAACAUAAUAAGCACCGGCUAACUUCGUGCCAGCCGCCGCGGUAAUAC